ACUUCUCGUCAUAUGGCGGGAGAUUAUCAUUUUCCACUCGUGUGAUCCACCGAAGGCUUACCUUCUUCUUUCUCGCUGCAUAAUUUUCAGGCCAAAUUUUAUAUGCACCAUCUAUCAAAAGGAAGCAACGCCACCGGCUAACGCUAUAGGACAGUGUCAAGUGGGGACGUCUGCGUGGGAAACCCUAGCCUCUGUUCAUCAACACACUGCUUUCACUUCUUCUUCCAGUUUGUAGAAAUUCAAUUUUCGUCUAGUUUUGAGGACCACGCAUAGGUAGUGCGUGUUGGGUUGCUGAUCUUUUAAGAACAAUGGAGGGUACUGCUGCUGCUGCUAUUUCUUCUGGACUGACCAGCCGCCGCUCGAAAAGGACCCGGGCUCAAACUGUACCCGCCGAAGCUCAACCUACCAAUGCAGAUGGGGGUGGUGCCGACAACAAUGACAGGACCAGCGAUGCUAGCGACCAGGCUGACCGAGAUAGUUCACCUGAAAACUUUGAAGAGGCUCGGGCUCCUAAAACUAAGCGGCACCGUUUGGAAGGCACUUCGAGUGCUGCGCAUGAAGUCUCCGAUCAGAGUCUGAUUGAUGUUAUAAAAGGAAAUGGGAAACUUAUUCCUCAAGUCGUUAAGCUUUGGGUGGAGAGAUAUGAAAACGAUCCAAAAACUUCAAUGGUUGAGCUACUAUCAAUGCUGUUUGAGGCAUGUGGAACUAAAUACCAUAUCAAGGGUGACUUCCUAGAAGAGACUGAUGUUGAUGACGUUGUUGUUGCUCUUGUCAAUCUCGCAAAAAGAGGUGAAGUUGAAGACUAUCAAAGCUCUAAAAGGAAGGAGUUCAAAAACUUCAAGGAUAAUCUUGAGUCAUUCUGGGACCACUUGGUCCACGAGUGUCAACAUGGGCCUUUAUUUGAUCACGUGUUAUUUGAUAAAUGUGUGGACUACAUAAUUGCAUUAUCAUGUACUCCUCCAAGGGUUUAUCGUCAAGUAGCCUCAUUGAUGGGUCUCCAACUUGUUACAUCUUUCAUCAGUGUUGCUAAAAUGCUUGGUGUUCAACGUGAAACUACUCGUAGACAAUUAGAUGCUGAAAAGAAGAAACGAGCUGAGGGACCUCGUGUGGAGUCUUUAAAUAAAAGGUUUUCUAUGACUCAUGAAAAUAUUACGGUGUUGGAGGAAAUGAUGCGCAAGAUUUUUACUGGGUUAUUUGUGCAUCGUUAUCGAGAUAUUGAUCCAAACAUUAGAAUGUCGUGCAUACAGUCAUUAGGAGUAUGGAUUUUGUCCUACCCAUCACUAUUUUUGCAGGAUUUAUACUUAAAGUAUCUUGGAUGGACAUUGAAUGACAAAAAUGCUGGAGUCAGAAAAGUUUCUGUUCUUGCAUUGCAGAAUCUUUAUGAGGUGGAUGAUAAUGUGCCGACAUUAAGUCUGUUCACUGAGAGGUUUUCUAAUCGGAUGAUUGAAUUGGCAGAUGACAUUGAUGUUUCUGUGGCUGUGUGUGCCAUAGGGCUUGUUAAACAACUACUAAGACAUCAACUUUUAGCAGACGAUGACUUGGGUCCCCUUUAUGAUUUACUGAUUGAUGAUCCACCAGAGAUCAGACAUGCCAUAGGAGCAUUAGUGUAUGAUCACUUGAUUGCUCAGAAGUUCAAUAGCUCCCAAUCUUCUCGGAGAGGUGAUGGCAAUAAUUCUUCUGUGGUUCAUCUUGGCAGAAUGUUGCAAAUCCUGAGAGAGUUCUCAACGGAUCCAAUAUUAAGCAUCUAUGUUGUUGAUGAUGUUUGGGAAUAUAUGAAGGCCAUGAAGGACUGGAAGUGCAUUAUUUCCAUGCUCCUAGAUGAAAAUCCAAGAAUUGAGCUUACUGAUGAGGAUGCCACAAACUUGGUUCGUCUCCUUUCUGCAUCUGUCAAAAAGGCAGUUGGGGAAAGGAUUGUUCCUGCCACGGAUAAUAGGAAGCAGUACUUCAGUAAAGCUCAAAAGGAAAUAUUUGAAAGCAACAGACGGGACAUAACUACUGCCAUGAUAAUUAAUUAUCCCCUACUUCUACGCAAGUUCAUGGCUGAUAAAGCUAAAAUACCAUCCUUAGUUGAAAUUAUCGUGCACAUGAAUCUUGAAUUUUAUUCCCUGAAGAGGCAAGAGCAGAUUUACAAAAAUGUUCUUCAACUUAUGAAAGAAGCAUUUUUCAAGCAUGGCGAGAAGGAAGCAUUGAGAUCAUGCAUGAAGGCAAUUAACUUAUGCUGCAUUGAGAGUCGAGGGGAGUUGCAAGAUUUUUCCCGUAAUAAAUUGAAGGAACUUGAAGAUGAGCUUUUUGCAAAACUAAAACAUGCUAUGAAAGAAUUAGAGGAUGGUGGUGAUGAAUACUCUCUUCUUGUAAAUUUGAAAAGGUUGUAUGAGUUUCAAUUAACCAGACCUGUUCCUAUGGAAAGCUUAUAUGGUGAUAUUAUGAUGAUUCUCCAGAAAUUUAGAAGCGUGGAUGAUGAGGUUGUAUGUUUUCUACUUCUCAAUCUCUACUUACAUUUAGCAUGGUCUCUACACUCUAUCAUAAAUAGUGAAACGGUGUCAUUAGAAUCUUUGUCAUCCUUAUUGAAUAAACGGAAUGCGUUGCUUGAGCAUCUGGACCAAUACCUGAAUGAUCCUACUGAAGUUGGUAUGAGUGGUAAUCAGCUGGCCUGUCGAGUUUGUACCAUUCUUGCGGAGACGUGGUUUUUGUUCAGAAAGGAAAAUUAUUCUUCAACAAAACUGGAAGGAUUAGGCUAUUGCCCCGAUGCAUCUAUUGUUAAAAAAUUUUGGAGGUUAUGUGAGCGACAACUAUGUAUUUCAGAUGAGUGUGAAGAUGAGGAUGUUAGUAAAGAAUAUGUAGAGGAGACAAAUAAAGAUGCAAUCAUGAUUGCUGCCGCAAAGUUGGUUGCAAGUGAUACAGUUUCUAAGGAGUAUCUUGGUCCAGCAAUUAUUUCUCAUUUUCUGAUGCAUGGGACAAGUGUAGCUGAUAUUGUUAAGCAUUUCAUUGCCAUUUUGAAAAAGAAGGAUGGCAAUAUCCCAGUUAUCUUUCUUGAAGCCAUGAAAAGAGCCUACGAUCGACAUAUGGUAGAACUCUUGAGAAAUAGUGAUGGGCCUUCAACAGGAAAAUCCUUUCUAGAAUGUAGGGAGUUGGCUGCUCGGCUAUCUGGAACAUAUGUAGGUGCAGCUAGGAACAAGCACAGAUCAGAUAUUUUAAAGAUUGUUAAGGAUGGAAUUGAGCAUGCCUUCUCUGAUGCACCGAAGAAUUUAUCUUUCCUGGAGUGUGCUGUUCUACAUUUUGUAUCCAAACUGCCUACACCGGAUAUCCUGGAAAUUAUCAAGGAUGUCCAGAAUCGAACAGAAAAUAUUAAUACAGAUGAAGACCCAAGUGGUUGGCGCCCAUAUCAUACCUUUGUUGACAGCUUGCGUGAAAAGUAUGCUAAAAGUGAUGGUUUGCAAGAUGAGAAAGAAGGAAAUUCUACUAGACGUAGAGGUCGGCCCCGUAAAAAACAUACCAUACAGGGAAAAAGACUUUUUGAUGAGCAAAGUACAAGUGAAGACGAGGAAUCAAUUAGUGCAUCUGACCAUGAAGAUGCACAUGAUGAAGAGAAGCGAGAUGAGGAAGAUGAGGAAGAAGUACCACUCAUCCAUUCAAUUAGGCCAUCCUCUAAAUUGAGGUCACUUAGAAUUUCAAGAGACGAAAGAAAAGGGACUUCUAUGGGUAAAGCUGCAGUCUUGCAUGGCAGAAAAGGAUAGAAAAAGUUGUUUCUGAUGAAAAUGAUAUUUGCUCUCUCUCGCAUAAGAUUUGAAGCCAGGUGAAGCCAUCUUGGUUCUUGUGGUGCUUGGAGUUGUACUUCAGCCUCUUUUGCUCCAUGGCCACCAUCUACAUGACUUGAACCGACCGUCUACCGCGCAUGACUUAUCAUGGUCUACAAACAUCCCCAAAUUAAGACAUGUAGCAGUUGUGUUUAUAUUUAUAUACAAAACGAAAUUAUGCUGACGUAACCUUAACUAAGAUGUUCGUGAAACUUGCUGAAGGAUGCUACCUAAGGAGUUGUGGCUAUAGCGUAAUAGUUGAUAAUCCUGUUAGCCGCGGACAUUUCUGUGAUAGCGGUAGAAUACCCCCUACGUUGCCUCUGUUAUGGUCGGAGGCCUCGUAUGAUUCUCUUGUCUGUCUUGACUUUUGUUUUUGCUUUGUGUGAUUUGAUCUUUUGGAUAUUAUGCUAUUCUUAGUUCAUAAUGUAGUUCUCGAGAAUGUCCAUUAUCUAAAAUUUAUGGAUGAAGCAAAAUAAUAUGCCUAAAAGAUUCUGUUCCA